rnacentral:rRNA from 1 species
GCUUACGGCCAUAUCUCAUCCGAUCACCGAAGUUAAACAACGUCGAGCCUGAUGAGUACUUAGAUGGGUGACCGCUUGGGAAACCUAGGUUCUGUAAGGU